rnacentral:tRNA from 1 species
GGAAGUGUAUGCAGGUCUGGUGACUGCCUCGGUCUUCAAAACCGCAGAGUGACGCUUCGCGCCACUGGUGGGUUCGAUUCCCAUCCACUUCCGCCA